ensembl:lncRNA
GAGUGAGUAACAGUAACAGUAAUAACAGGAGUGAGUAACAGUAACAGUAACAGAGUGAGUAACAGUAACAGGAGUGAGUAACAGUAACAGGAGUGAGUAACAGUAACAGUAACAGGAGUGAGUAACAGUAACAGUAACAGGAGUCAGUAACAGUAACAGGAGUGAGAGUGAGUAACAGUAACAGGAGUGAGUAACAGUAACAGUAACAGAAGUGAGUAACAGUAACAGUAACAGUAACAGGAGUGAGUACAGUAACAGGAGUGAGUAACAGUAACAGUAACAGUAACAGGAGUGAGUAACAGUAACAGUAACAGGAGUGAGUAACAGUAACAGGAGUGAGUAACAGUAACAGUAACAGGAGUGAGUAACAGUAACAGGAGCGAGUAACAGUAACAGUAACAGGAGUCAGUAACAGCAUCAG